rnacentral:rRNA from 1 species
UAAGGAAUAUUGGUCAAUGGACGCAAGUCUGAACCAGCCAUGCCGCGUGAAGGAUGAAGGUCCUCUGGAUUGUAAACUUCUUUUAUCUGGGACGAAAACGGGAUUUUUAUCUCAAUUGACGGUACCAGAGGAAUAAGCACCAGCUAACUCCGUGCCAGCAGCCGCGGUAAUACGGAGGGUGCGAGCGUUAUCCGGAUUUACUGGGUUUAAAGGGUGCGUAGGUGGGCUUAUAAGUCAGUGGUGAAAUCUCCGAGCUUAACUUGGAAACUGCCGUUGAUACUAUAGGUCUUGAAUUAUCUGGAGGUCAGCGGAAUAUGUCAUGUCGCGGUGAAAUGCCUAGAUAUGACAUAGAACACCAAUUGCGAAGGCAGCUUACUACAUAUAAAUUGACGCUGAGGCACGAAAGCGUGGGGAUCAAACA